UUUAGACGCUAUAGGCACAGCUGAACAUAUUCUGGUAUUGACAAAAAAGUCACUUAAUCAUGUGUUUUAUUAAAAGCAUGUAACGUAUUGUGUGGACCAGUGUGUCUCCAGUGCGUAAUUGCGGAACCGCCCACAAUUCCGCCUGCCGCUCUCUAAGUUGCGCUUUCUUUGCGCUCCUUCGGUGUGCGUUUAAUCAAAAUACCGGAUAAAUCAUGAGCAAGUGAAAGCAAUAUUUUCGUAUUUUAAAGACACACUUUCCAACGAACUCUCAGGAUGUCACUUCGGACCAGGUCGGGAUUUUAUCGCCAGGAUAUUAACAGGACCGUUUGGGACGUGCCGGCGAGAUAUGGCAAUCUCAUCCAAAUAGGAACCGGAGCGUACGGAACGGUUUGUUCAGCCAUUGACCACAAGACAGGAGUGCGUGUGGCCAUCAAAAAGCUCCAUCGGCCGUUCCAGUCCACAUUGUUCGCCAAACGGGCUUACAGAGAGCUACGACUGCUCAAGCAUAUGAAACAUGAGAAUGUUAUUGGGCUGCUGGAUGUCUUUACCUCGGAAAUCUUGUUGGACAGAUUUCAGGACUUUUACCUGGUGAUGCCGUUUAUGGGCACUGAUCUGGGAAAGCUGAUGAAGAUGGAGAGACUUUCAGAAGACAGGGUGCAGUUUCUGGUCUAUCAGAUAUUGAGGGGACUGAAGUAUAUUCAUUCAGCUGGGAUCAUUCACAGGGAUCUCAAACCAGGAAAUCUGGCAGUGAACCAGGACUGUGAGCUGAAGAUCUUGGACUUUGGACUUGCACGUCAGACGGAUUCAGAAAUGACAGGUUAUGUGGUGACUCGCUGGUACAGAGCGCCAGAAGUUAUCCUCAACUGGAUGCAUUACUCACAAACAGUUGAUAUCUGGUCGGUGGGCUGCAUCAUGGCGGAGAUGUUGCUUGGAAGACCACUUUUUAAAGGAAAUGACCACCUGGACCAGCUAAGAGAAAUCAUGAAAAUCACAGGAACACCAGCGCCAGAUUUCAUCGUGAAGCUACAAAGCCAAGAUGCCAAAAACUACCUCAGAGGUCUACCUAAAGUACCAAAGAAGGACUUAAACACUAUUUUCUUUAAAGCCAGCUCAGAGGCUGUAAGUGCUCUCGAGCGAAUGCUGGUUCUGGAUCCAGAGAAACGUGUGAGUGCUGCAGAAGCCCUUGAGCUCCCUCUGUUUACUGAGUUCAGAGAACCAGAGGAGGAGACGGAGGCCCUACCAUACGACCACUCCAUGGACAACACAGAACUGCCUCUGGAGCAGUGGAAACGUCACACGUUUACAGAGAUCUUGAUGUUCCAGCCACCCAUCACUGAGAUCAAAGACUCCAAAGAAACAUCUCUGUGAAUGGACACAGAUGCAUAAACCCACAAGAAACGAGACUCACUGUAAAACCAAGAGCCAUAUGUGUGUAUGAGAGAGAGAGCAGAAAAAGGAAUAGUUACACUGGGAAAACUCCUAUGAUCAGCCUCAAGGACCGUCAAUAUCCUCCAUAAAAAGGUUCAGACUGUUUUUGGUCUCCUCACGUGAAUGACUUUGAUCAGCCGUUCACCUUUGAGUGUCCACCACAUCACGCAAUGGCAGGAAUGGCCAGCUACCAUAACAAACCUGAGGACAGCCGGUGGUAGAAUUGGUAACGGUCACUGUAAUACUGACUGUCAGUGGACUCCCUAUGUGAACUGGUUUGAGUAUUUCUACUGGACUCUACCUAACUAUAGUCUGGUGGGUGCUGAAAGCUACCAUGAAAAUCAACAUGAUGCGAGAUGCAAUCUAUGGUCUUCCACACUGUUGAUGCAAUGUGCUUCAGGUUGCACCACAAGAGAAGGUAAACAUGCUUGAAUUGAUGUAAAAAUGUCUGAUGGGAGAUGGAGCUUGUCAGUGAGCCAGCAUAAUGUAUAUGAUCCAAGGGUACCAAAACUCUCAAAAACAACAUGCUGACUUUCGCAUGUAAUCAUGUUGAACAAACACACCACUUUUUACAUGGUACAGUUGAAGACAGAAGUUUACAUACACCUUAGCCAAAUACUUUUAACUCGGUUUUCACAAUUCCUGACAUUUUAUCGUAGAAAACAUUCCCUGUCUUAUGUCAGUUAGGAUCACUACUUUAUUUUAAGAAUGUGAAAUGUCAGAAUAAUAGUAGAGAGAAUGAUUUAUUUCAGCUUUAUUUCUUUCAUCACAUUCCCAGUGGGUCAGAAGUUUACAUACACUUUGUUAGAAUUUGGUAGCAUUGCUUUUAAAUUGUUUAACUUGGGUCAAACGUUUUGGGUAGCCUUCCACAAUUUUCUCAAUAAGUUGCUGGAAUUUUGGCCCAUUCCUCCAGACAGAACUGGUGGAACUGAGUCAGGUUUGUAGGACUCCUUGCUCACACACACUUUCAGUUCUGCCCACAAAUUCUCUAUCGGACUGAGGUCAGGGCUUUGUGAUUGCCACUCCAGUACCUUGACUUUGUUGUCCUUGAGCCAUUUUGCCACAACUUUGGAGGUAUGCUUGGGGUCAUUGUUUAUUUGGAAGACCCAUUUGCGACCAAGCUUUAACUUCCUGGCUGAUGUCUUGAUGUUGUUUAAAUAAAUCCACAAUUUUCCUUCAUCAUGAUGCCAUCUAUUUUGUGAAGUGCACCAGUCCCUCCUGCAGCAAAGCACCCCCACAACAUGAUGCUUUCACACCAAACUACAUUCAUCUCUAGGAGACAGAAUGCGUCACCUUCCUGAGUGGUAAGAUGGCUGUGUGGUCCCAUGGUGUUUAUAAUUGCGUACUAUUGUUUGCACAGAUGAACAUGGUACUUUCAGGCAUUUGGAAAUUGCUCCCAAGAAUGAGCCAGACUUGUGGAGGUCCACAAUUGUUUUUCUGAGGUCUUGGCAGAUUUUUUUAACAUUUUCCCAUGAUGUCAAGCAAAGAGGCACUGGGUUUGAAGGUAGGCCUUAAAAUACAUCCACAGGUACACCUCCAGUUGACUCCAGUUAACCAAUUAGCCUAUCAGAAGCUAUUUGGCUAAUUGCCUAAAGGCUUGACAUAAUUUUCUGGAAUUUUCCAAGCUGUUUAAAGGCACAGUUAACUUAGUGUAUGUAAACUUCUGACCCACUAGAAUUGUGAUAUUGUCAAUUAAAAGUAAAACAAUCUGUCUGUAAACAAUUGUUGGAAAAAUGUCUUGUGUCAUGCACAAAGUAGAUUUCAAAACUAUAGUUUGCCAAUAUGAAAUCUGUGGAGUGGUUAAUUUAGUUUUAAUGACUUCAACCUAAGUGUAUGUAAACUUCUGACUUCAACUGUACAAGCACUUAAAUGUUAGAUAUGGGAAUUGUCUUUUAAAUGUUUAAAAUUGUUUUAAAAUGUGUAAAGUAGCUGACAUGAAAUUUGAAGCACUAACAAAUCGUAUUAUUAUUAUUAUUAUUAUUAUUAUACAUGAAUUAUGGCACAAUAUACGUAGAUAGAACAGACUACAUGGAAUUUCUGCAUUUCACAGAAAAAUAAAAAUAAAAAAAGCUAAAAUGUGGUUAGUUAAAAACGAUAUAUAUAUAUGUAUGUAUAGAAACAUACACUUUCACAUGAUACACUAAAUCCUAAAACCCUAAAAAAGAAAUUAUUUAUUAAAUCAAAAACUAAUAUUUUUUUAUUUUUUAUUUUUUUAAUUAAAUAUAUGGAUAGACUAAAAUAAACAAAAACUACAAUUCAUUGAAAAACUAAAACUAAUCUA